CUGCCCUGGUUUUUCUUCAGAACAAAUAAAUCUUUCACCUUUUACUAAAGAUUUCCGUGGAGAGAAACCGUUGUGAGUUGGUAACCAAAUUUUUUGAGGCCUUGCUUAGGCAGGGCU
ensembl:snRNA U5 U5 spliceosomal RNA